rnacentral:rRNA from 1 species
UACGAAGGGGGCUAGCGUUGUUCGGAUUUACUGGGCGUAAAGCGCACGUAGGCGGAUCGUUAAGUCGGGGGUGAAAUCCUGGAGCUCAACUCCAGAACUGCCUUCGAUACUGGCGGAUCUUGAGUCCGGAAGAGGUGAGUGGAACUCCUAGUGUAGAGGUGGAAUUCGUAGAUAUUAGGAAGAACACCAGUGGCGAAGGCGGAGCUCGACUGGU